rnacentral:snRNA from 1 species
GUACUCACUUUGGCAGCAUAUGUACUAAAAUUGGAAGGAUACAGAGAAGAUAAGCAUGGUCCCUGUGUAAGGAUGGCAUGCAAAUUUGUGAAGCAUUCCAUAUUUUA